UGCUGCCGGCGGUACGGCACGGGCGGCUGGGGCAGAAGUGUGCGCGGCCGCAGGGCGGGUACCGAGCUGAGAUUCUUACAUCGACAGUUACCGGUUUAAAGCUCUUGUGCUCAGCUGCACCCUCUUACCGUCCUUACAGUUUAACUGCUAGAUUUCCUAAGCACUUGCACUAUUAAUUGUCCCAUUUCAGCCGUUCAUUCCUCUCACUUCAGAGAAGAAAUGACCCGACAAUAAAGCUAAAAGUCAAACUCAUUGCAUGUAACUUAAGAGUGUGACCAAAAGGUGUUGUACUGAGAAACACGGGUACCUGAGCAGCAGGAAGACACAGGGCACCCAGGCUUUGUUGUUAUGAGAGCUCUGUUUGCGUGUGGAAGUUAUUUCGGCACCAAAAUGCCAUCAUACCUCAUGCUGAGACACGGGCAGUUCUCAUAAACUGUUUCUUUAACUGGUAAGAUUCAGAUAUUCUGAGUAAUUCCUCGCCAGCAGUCAGGACACAGUUCUCUCCAGGUGUCCAAAAUGAUCAAAUUCACCAAGGCCACAGCUUGCUGCCAUUUCCUGAGGUUCAUGGUGACUCUGGCUGUCACCACAGCUGCGUAGACCUACUACAGACCUGCAAGUGGAAAGAAAACCCGGCGUGCCUCUGGAAAUCACCCCUGUGAUUCACCGGGUGUCAUUCUUCUGAGUAAGCAUUGAGCUCAUGUCCAGCUUGAAGAUCAUUGUGCUUUAUGAAAUACAAAUACAUAAUGUACAGCCAAGGCCACAAGUCAUGUCAUCUGCAAUGUUCUCUGCAGCAUCUAUGUUGGCCAAUUACAAAGGUACUCAAGUGUCCUGAUGGAAUGGCGAGUGAGGAAGUUCCCUGGUGGUGACAGAGGGCCCUGCAGGAUGGUGGGGUCAGCAGAUGUUGUUAGGAAGGCAAGCCGGACAAUCCAGUGUGGAAUGCAGCUCCAGAGAAGGAGAAAAGAUUGCUAAUACAACUGGAAUGAAGGACAGCAUAUAGAAAGUAUUUGCCAGUCAUGAAUUCCCCACCACCCUCAGUGAACAAUUAGGCUGAUGAUUACAGCUGCUGUGAGUCAUUUUGUCAGUUUGAAUGCUAAAGGUCUGUGGGAUGGAUUGAAUGAUUCCAGUCCUACUAAUGAUCCAUGUGGGUGUGAACAUGCCACAUGAUGGAACGUCUGUGGUUUUGAGUCUUGGAAAUUACAGAGAAGGCAUAGUUUGUAGGUAAAAACAAUAUCUUCUAUUAGACCACUGGCAGUCUGAAAAAGCAUGACUUGAAGAGGGUUUCUGCAGAGAACCACAGAAGCAAAAAAAGAAUAGGUUUGGAGGGGACCUCAGGUAGUAUUUAGUCCAGCCUCCUGCUCAAAGCAUGGCCAGCUGUGAGACCAGAUCAGGCUGCUGAGUGUUUUAUCCAGGUUACUCUUGAAAGCCUUGAAGUCCCUUGGAGAACUGUGUAAUUCAAAAUUAGGAGAUGGAUUUGUCUCACUGUGUGUAUGGAUGUUGAUACUUCCUGAGCCUAUAAAGCAAGAUGCAGUUCCCUUCACAAGCAUCCCUGCUUCAUUCAGAUCCCAGUAUGGAUGUGUAUGUAGUAGGGAGGGGCACAUAAGGAAGCACACUGGUGAAAGAUAUUUUCAGCAGCUUUUAUUCCAGAAGUUAGAUGGCAUGUAAUCAUUAAGGAAGGAGGACUGUAGAAGUAAAGAUUUGAUCUGGUGGAUGAGAUAGGUCUGAAUUAUCAUUAUUUGUUUGUGCAGAUAAUUUUCAAGUUACUUAUGGACAAGUCUUGAACUUUCAACUGCAACUAACUAAAAGAUAACUAAAGGAUUGAACUGUUAGAUUUCUGGUUUUCAUCUAGAAGACUUCAAAAGAAUGGAGUAAAAUGACUUGUUUAAGUAAAACCAGACUUGUUUAAGUAGCAAAACAUCAGGUCUAGUAAGCUAGGAAAUGCUAUUAGCUGAUAGAAUUCUUCUGAAUAGGAUCACACUUGUUUUUUUGUGUGGCUUUGAGGCUCUGUCCUGAAAAUAACAUCUUGGCCUUUCUAUUGAGUAAAUACUUAAAUGUUUUUCUAUUUAAAAGAAUGCAAUCAGCAAGCAUUGAUUGUCUGCCUACAAGUAAACUACCUUGCAUCAAUGUCCGGCCAUUUCAGAAGUAGUCAACAUCUUUGAGAUAUUAUGAUACAGUAACAUUCAGUGAAACGUAAUGAUUUUACUAACUGAAAUCAGUGUUCUGUACUGCUAAAACAAGACGUACUCUUAAUUCUGCCAUACGAAGCCUAUUUGUACUGUGAGUCCAGGAGCAGUUUUCCUAACAUCUAUUCCCUUACAGAAGUCUAUAACAAAAUUAUUUUCCUUUACAGUCUUUCAAAAUUAACGUAUUUUAUUAGUUUUGAUUUAGGUCAACAGGAUGCUUAGAUGUAAAUAAAUUUAUGAGUUGAUUUUGAUAAGAAUUGCACAAAAACAAAUCUCCUUCCCUAUACCCCACAUGCCCCCCACAAAACCUCAAUCACGCUGCAGUAUCUUUUUUUUUCCUUAAAAUGUGUGUGAAAUAUGGAUAGAUGAGGUGAAAAACAUCUGACACCCUUGAACAAACUACUGUCCAGAAAUGGUGAGACUCAAAGCACAGAAAGGAAAAGCGUAACAAUACUACUAAGAAUGCCUCUUAGUUCACCAUCUGCUUAAAAGAACAAAACAGCUGCUUAAACAGGAUGUAGAUAACAUCAUCCCCUAUGUCCCUUUGUAAACAUUUUCCAAGGAGACAGUGAUUAGCUACUUCCUUUACAGGAUAUCUCUUGGUCAGCACCAAGAGCAGAGACUGUUUAUUAGAAAUAUAGAAGUGAAUUGUUUUAACCUUUUUAAAGUACUUUCACGGAUAAAUUGUUGUGGCUCAGACAGUACCUUUGAAAGCGUGACAGGAUGAAAGCUGGGCUCAGUGAAAUGUGGGUUUUUUGGUGUUUUGGCUGUGUGGUUUAAUGUAAUACUUAAAAAUUCUGUUUUUCAAAUACCAACUCAAAUUGCAGUGAUCCUUUGAAUAGGAAAGAAAUGUAGAUACACGAUUUCCAUCAGACAGAGUUGAUUCAAAAGGUCCAAACACAAUGCACAAAAUCAGAUUUUGCUUUUGCGGAGCUGAAGGCCAGUAUUAAUGAUUUUGCCCACUCUAUUUGCCUUGACAAAUUUAAGUGGUAGGGAUUGUGUGAAGAAGGAAGACUGACAGAUAAGGAGAAAGAAGUAAUCACAGAGGUUUCACAGGAUGAUGGGUGUUUUAGGAAUGGUUUUUCUCUGCCCUUUGCUGCCUUUCUGAUCUUAUAAGCAGGGCAGAAAACAUUUCCAAGGGGAUUUUGUCCUGAAGUACAAGCUAGAGCUGAUUUGAACUUAACACUGAUUGAGUGCUGAAUGUAGGUGGACAUAAUGCAGUGCGUCAGUAAGUUCCAGAUUCCUCCUCUCCUAAGGGACCACCUUUCCUUUUGUAUUGCCUUAGGGGAAAUGCUCUUUUCCCUUCCAAUCUGGUUUUGCUUACUUCUCCCUCUUCUCCUCUUGGUGUACUCAAUAUGAAACAACUGAGGAAGAGUGGAAGCUAGAGAGCAGGAGAGAAAAAACAUCUUCCCCUAAACACACCCCAGCACACUGUGGAGCUCUUGGUGCUGGAGAUCAGCAGAACAGGGUUGUGAACAAAGGUAGAGUGGCUAGAGUUAAUGCCAAUGGUUGCCAAGGGCUUUCUGUCAUCUGUUGUUACUGAUACAAGAAUUAAUGGAAAGUUGGCCAUUAUUACAAAAAAAAAAAAAAAAA